UAAAAAGCAGGGGUCUGUUGCCUAUGUGAACAGGCCUCUCGUAAAUGUCAGGGAAAUCAAGUUUCAUCGUUAUUGGGUGAACCUCCGUUUGUUGUUUGUGGCUGAAGGUUCAGUAAAUGAUGGAACAUUU